GACGAACGCUGGCGGCGUGCUUAACACAUGCAAGUCGAACGGAAAGGCCCUGCUUGCAGGGUACUCGAGUGGCGAACGGGUGAGUAACACGUGGGUGAUCUGCCCUGCACUUCGGGAUAAGCCUGGGAAACUGGGUCUAAUACCGGAUAGGAGCCAUUUUUAGUGUGAUGGUUGGAAAGUUUUUUCGGUGUAGGAUGAGCUCGCGGCCUAUCAGCUUGUUGGUGGGGUAAUGGCCUACCAAGGCGGCGACGGGUAGCCGGCCUGAGAGGGUGGACGGCCACAUUGGGACUGAGAUACGGCCCAGACUCCUACGGGGGGCAGCAGUGGGGAAUAUUGCACAAUGGGCGCAAGCCUGAUGCAGCGACGCCGCGUGGGGGAUGACGGCCUUCGGGUUGUAAACUCCUUUCGCUAGGAACGAAGCUUUUUGUGACGGUACCUAGAUAAGAAGCACCGGCUAACUACGUG
rnacentral:rRNA from 1 species